rnacentral:rRNA from 1 species
GACAGAGGUGCCGAGCGUUAGGCGGAAUCACUGGGCUUAAAGCGUGUGUAGGCGGGGGCCUAAGUACCUUGUGAAAUCCCACGGCUCAACCGUGGAACGGCUCGGUAUACUGGGUGCCUUGAGCUGUCUAGGGGCGACCGGAACAAGCGGUGGAGCGGUGAAAUGCGUAGAUAUCGCUUGGAACGCCAACGGAGAAAUCAGGUAGCUGGGGGUGUGCUGACGCUGAGACACGAAAGCCAGGGGAGCGAACGGG